rnacentral:lncRNA from 1 species
GACUCUGGCCGCGGCGAUUCAAUAUAUCCGGAAGCAACUGUCAUGGCUGCUGUCAGUGAGGGCCCGUAAUGGAGAUCGAGUCAAGGGUUGCCCAGGGACACUUAAGAGCCUUCGGCUUCAAGGAGGCCUCUCAAAGGACAAAGGAUGAGACUGCCUGGCGGCAGAGUGCCCCCCACAAUCGUAGGAACUGUGUCGCCGCGCUUCCCGUUAACUUGCCGCUAAGUUUUUCUAGAAAAGUCGCCCUUCUUGCCAGGGGUGUCCUAUAGACUUUGUCAUGGAGUGAAACAGAAACAAAUAUAUGCAUGACUCUUGGCCAGUGAUUCUCAACCUCGGCUGCACAUUGGCAUCAACUGGGGAACCUUCAAAGCUCCUGGCAUGUGGGUUCCACCCUCAGAGAUUGUGAUGUAAUGCACUGACAGUCAAAUUGGGAACAACUGUAAAUUGGCUCAGUUCAUUCAUCUUUUACUGCUGUACAGAAGAUUUCAUUGUAUAAGUACUUCACAACUCAUGUACUGAUUUCUAGUUGAUGAACUGUUUCAAAUUUUUGUUAUUUCAAGCAAUUCUCUAAUGAAUGUUGUUGUACUUGUCUCCCCGUGAAUGUUCCUCUGGGGUAUAUACUGAGAAGUUUGAAUUGGCACAUCAAAGGUUGAGCAUCUUCACCUUUAAAAAAAAAAAAAAAAAAAA